GACAAACGCUGGCGGCGUGCUUAACACAUGCAAGUCGAGCGGGAAACUUCGGUUUCCAGCGGCGGACGGGUGAGUAACACGUGGGCAACCUGCCUCACAAUGAGGGAUAGCCUUCCGAAAGGAAGAUUAAUACCUCAUAAUACAAAGAAAACGCAUGUUUUCUUUGCCAAAGAAUUUCGUUGUGAGAUGGGCCCGCGGCGCAUUAGCUUGUUGGUGAGGUAACGGCUCACCAAGGCUUCGAUGCGUAGCCGACCUGAGAGGGUGAUCGGCCACAUUGGAACUGAGACACGGUCCAGACUCCUACGGGAGGCAGCAGUGGGGAAUAUUGCACAAUGGAGGAAACUCUGAUGCAGCAACGCCGCGUGAGUGAUGAAGGUCUUCGGAUUGUAAAGCUCUGUCUUCUGGGACGAUAAUGACGGUACCAGAGGAGGAAGCCACGGCUAACUAC
rnacentral:rRNA from 1 species